ensembl:lncRNA
UAAUGUAGGUUUUUUGAGCAGCGGGGUUACCCAAGCCUGCUUGAAUGCAGUGGGGAAGGUGCCUGUGAGGAGAGAUGUGUUGAUGAUGUGUGUGUGGUGUGUGGAGAUUCUAAGAAAUCCACAUGGUGAUAGAGAUUCUGAGAAGAAGUCCAUGUAUUUAAAUUAAACCCAAGUGUUGUUGAGAGAUUCUGAGAAGUCACGUACUCAAAAUGUGUUCUAUUCAUAAUGAUAAGUUUUAUUUCAAAAGUUAAAAAUUAAUAUUUCAUGGUAAGGAUCUGUCUCAUAUAUAUAUUAACAGGUUUCAUUUUUAUAUUCAAAAAUGUUUUUGGUAAACUUUAUGGUAUAUUUCAUAUGUAAUUUCACAGUAUUUCUAACUGCGUAGUCAGCUGAGUCUGUUUUGCAUAUGAAGUUGAACUGCACGUAUUGUUCUUUUAAAUCAAUAUUUCUUAGAAUUAUCAGUAUGAUACUUUGAAUCUAAAAGAGGAAGAAGUCCAAAAUCGAGACAUUGACUAGACUAUUUUUAAAGGUUAGGUGUUAUUAGUGAUAGCCAGAUGACGACUUAUGUCUAGAACAACAGUAUAUAAGAUAGACUCUGCAAAAUAGAAUAGGGUUAGGGUUUGACUUUCUGAGACUCUGGUCUCUCUAUCUUUUCAGCUCACUUCCUCUUCUUUGGCUUCACUCGACAACUCCUCUUAGACUCAGACUUAGAACUCUUACAGGUUUUUAUUCAAAUUCAGAUACCUUGAAAUUCAGAUACUUUGAUACUCUGAUACUUUGAUAUUUUAAUAUUUUAAUACUAAUAUUUUGGUACUUUUGAUUCGAACAGAAUAAUUGUUUAUGUUUUACUUACAAUUUUAUUAAUGUUUUGAUUAAUACUGGUUGGGUUCAAUCCAUCAUAAAUUGAUUGUUAUUAAAAAUGUACUAACAUUGGAUUUACAUUUUCUAUAUUUGAAGGUUGUUACUAUUAUCCAGAACUUUAUUUCCAAGUUAUGAUUUGUGGUUUCUGUUCUCUAUAUUCUUUUUAAUAAAUUUACCUAUUAUUACA